rnacentral:rRNA from 1 species
UACGUAGGGGGCAAGCGUUGUCCGGAAUCAUUGGGCGUAAAGCGCGUGUAGGCGGCUUGGUAAGUCUGCUCUGAAAGCCCGGGGCUCAACCCCGGGAGGCGGGUGGAUACUGUCAAGCUCGAGUCCGGAAGAGGAGUGUGGAAUUCCUGGUGUAGCGGUGAAAUGCGCAGAUAUCAGGAGGAACACCAGCGGCGAAGGCGGCGCUCUGGGCCGGAACUGACGCUGAGGCGCGAAGGCCAGGGUAGCGAAAGGG